UCACAGAAAACUGCCGAAGACAGCAGGUGCCGCAAGGCAUAAGGAGAACCCGCCUGCCGAGGAAAGUUAAAUCAUACGAUUGACUUAUACAUCCUCUCUGUCUGCAGGGAGGAUUUUUUUA
rnacentral:sRNA from 1 species